UACGGAAGGUCCGGGCGUUAUCCGGAUUUAUUGGGUUUAAAGGGAGCGUAGGCCGCCCCUUAAGCGUGUUGUGAAAUGCGGGUGCUCAACAUCCGACUUGCAGCGCGAACUGGGGGGCUUGAGUGCGCCGAAAGUAGGCGGAAUUCGUGGUGUAGCGGUGAAAUGCUUAGAUAUCACGAAGAACUCCGAUUGCGAAGGCAGCUUACUGUAGCGCAACUGACGCUGAUGCUCGAAAGCGUGGGUAUCGAACAGG
rnacentral:rRNA from 2 species